GAUGGUUUCAAAGAUAAAUAGGAAUCGUACAAGGCGGGCGCGUAUAUUUCCGUGCAGGGGGAGGCAGUGAACACAACGCGCGGGGGCCGCUGAAAAGUCCGGCGCUUGACAUUUUUAUUAUUAUGGAUGUGCCCACGCAGAUGAAAUGAGAGGAGGGAAGAAGGCCACCCGAGAGUUUUCUUCACGUCUCAUCAGGAAGAGAGAGAAAUAAAUUAUGCAACUUUUUGCUUGCAUGUAACCACCAGUUCCAGAUAUCUUGCUGAAGGAUGUUAAUGGCAGAUUUUUUUUUUUAUACAAGAAUAAUUUAUGACAAGUUUAUUUGUGCGUUGAGUUUUUUUUACGCACUACUUUCCAAGGCGAAUGCAGGUAACCUAAUGAUUACUUCAGUCUCGUUUUUCAAUCAAAAAUAAAUGAUGUGCAUUCUGAUAGUUUGUCUGAAUUAAAAGAGAUAUGCUUUGGUUGUAUUUCAAUUGUUUUAUUUACUUCUUCGAACUGGAGCAGCAUGGAAUGUAUGAAAGGGUUUGUCGUGUGUUUGAAUAUUUUUCAAUAAAGAAACGACGAAAGUGUAUCCUCAUUUCCACCCUUAUUGUGUCGACCGAUUGAUUUUAUAUUCCGUAAGAAAAUUAAAAUAAAAACGAAUUGUUUAAUCGAAGAAGAAGGGUGGAAAUGGAGCUUGCGUGGUUAGGACGUGGGCUGAAAAUGGGGAGGGGGGGGGGUCUUGAACCCACUGAGCUUCUCGCAAGGGUGUCAAAUAAUAACAGGACUACUUUUAACACUAAACAAAAAAUAAAUAACAUCAGAAAGUCCAAAUAGAACAAAACGAGCAAAAGGGUUGCAGCCGAUUAGCUCGUGACCCUUAAUUUGACAAAUGCAUUUCUUUCACGUAUGCCCUGGAUCCUUUCACAAGUGCAA